rnacentral:tRNA from 1 species
GCCAGUUUAGGAUCAGUGGUUAGAUCAUUGGCCUGCAGACCCAAGAGUCGGGUUUGAUUCCCAAUUGGGU